AGGCCUUGCCAGUUAGAGGAAGAGGCUGAAAGCAGGGAUUGGGACCACGCCCAAGGCCCCAUCAAACUCCUCCCGGAGGCCCCCUCCGGUCCUAUUUCCUCCCUCGCGGGUGGAGGCUCUGUAGCGAGGAGUUUCUCGGCCCAGAGCGGUCUGCGGCUUGUCUAAGGCAUCUUCGGAUUAGCUGAUCUCCGCACCGCCUCGGCCUGCAUCUUGCUUUCUGAACCUCCA
rnacentral:lncRNA from 1 species